rnacentral:rRNA from 1 species
AUUGAACGCUGGCGGCAUGCCUUACACAUGCAAGUCGAACGGUAACAGGUCUUCGGAUGCUGACGAGUGGCGAACGGGUGAGUAAUGCAUCGGAACGUGCCCAGUAGUGGGGGAUAGCCCGGCGAAAGAGCAGCUAAUACCGCAUACGACCUGAGGGUGAAAGGGGGGGAUCGCAAGACCUCCCGCUAUCGGAGCGGCCGAUGUCGGAUUAGCUAGUUGGUGGGGUAAAGGCCUACCAAGGCGACGAUCCGUAGCUGGUCUGAGAGGACGACCAGCCACACUGGGACUGAGACACGGCCCAGACUCCUACGGGAGGCAGCAGUGGGGAAUUUUGGACAGUGGACGCAAGUCUGAUCCAGCCAUGCCGCGUGCGGGAAGAAGGCCUUCGGGUUGUAAACCGCUUUUGUCAGGGAAGAAAUCUUCUGAGUUAAUACCUCGGGAGGAUGACGGUACCUGGAGAAUAAGCACCGGCUAACUACGUGCCAGCCGCCGCAGUAAGAC